CUUAGUUAUCCGAUCCGGAAACAACUCGAGACGGGAGAAGGAAGAGAUAAAAAAGUUAGAGAACGGAAGGUGAAAGCUCUAAUAAAGAAAGGUACCAAAAAAAUUUAUUAGACCACCAAGAUCAAAAGAGAAAUUGAUCAAGGAGCUAGAAGAAAAAACUCAACUCUAGACACUUUCGAACUCGAACUAAA
rnacentral:ncRNA from 1 species